CAGAAAAUAGUAUAUUUAGUAUAUAAAUUUUGGAGAUUUAAGGGGAGCUUAUCUUUUCUGA
rnacentral:tRNA from 1 species